GACGAACGCUGGCGGCGUGCCUAACACAUGCAAGUCGAGCGAAUGAAGUUUCUUCGGGAACGGAUUUAGCGGCGGGCGGGUGAGUAACACGUGGGCAACCUGCCUCAUAGAGGGGAAUAGCCCUCCGAAAGGGAGAUUAAUACCGCAUAAGAUUGUAGUACCGCAUGGUCGAGCAAUUAAAGGAGCAAUCCGCGAUGGGAUGGGCCCGCGGCGCAUUAGCUAGUUGGUGAGGUAACGGCUCACCAAGGCGACGAUGCGUAGCCGACCUGAGAGGGUGAUCGGCCACAUUGGGACUGAGACACGGCCCAGACUCCUACGGGAGGCAGCAGUGGGGGAUAUUGCACAAUGGGGGAAACCCUGAUGCAGCAACGCCGCGUGAGUGAUGACGGCCUUCGGGUUGUAAAGCUCUGUCUUCAGGGACGAUAAUGACGGUACCUGAGGAGGAAGCCACGGCUAACUACGUGCCAGCAGCCGCGGUAAAAC
rnacentral:rRNA from 1 species